CGUUGGUAAGGUGUGCGUCCCAUGACGGCGACUUUGCAAUCGGAUGUCUGCUCUAUCAACUUUCGCUGCCACUUUCUAUGCCUACCAUGGUGACCACAGGUAACGGGGAAUCAGGGUUCGAUUCCGGAGAGGGAGCCUGAGAAACGCCUACCACAUCCAAGGAAGACAGCAGGCGCAUAAAUUACCCACUCCGCAAGGAGGUAGUGACG